rnacentral:rRNA from 1 species
AUGUCGCCGCGCGCCUGUGUCGUGUCUUUGCUGAAGGGAUUAGUCGCUAUCUGGGGAGUAAAGCUUGCAUUCUGUUGCUUUACUGAAGGACUAUGGAAGUGCCGGCACUGCGAUUGGACGUACCGCUUGGCUAGUCCGUGCGGAAAUCGUACCGUAGAUCAUCGAGGCUUAUUAAAACCAGAGCAUUUGGCAGUUGAAUCAUAUUCGGAGAACCAAGCUGCUGCAGAUCAAGUGCAGUCCGAGAUGCAGAACUCCAACGAUACAACCACUAAAAUUGAAUCUCGCACAUAUGCUCAUCAUAGUCAUGGCACAGUUGUAAAACCAGAGCACUCGAUAACCGAAUCAUCGCCGGCAGAUCAGAACACGACAACCACCACAACUACAACCACAUCGGCAACAGCUACCACAACCUCUACAACCACAUCAGCAGCAGCAACAACUCACUCAUCGUCUGCUACAGGAAUCUUUCACGCAGAAGUAAUGGAAGGGAUGACAGGUGACACGCCUCCCCUGAAGCCUGCCGAUGGAGUUAUCAUGGAUGCAACUCACCACCUACUUGGACAUGGGGAUGUUCAUGGAACUACAACGACAACCUUCGAGAAUGGCUCAUUUACCACCCAUGUAAGUCGCAUAACAGAACUCAAGGUCGAUUGCCCGAAUGUGACCACUAUCGUGAGGGGUGAUUUACCAACCUCGCCGAUACCUCAAGCAGCAGAUCAACCUCAUGUAGCAGUGUCAGUCCCUCAAGAUGUGAAUCCGGCUGCUCCUAGCCCCCAACAGAGUGAUGACUGGGAUAUACCGAAAGCCAUAGUGUAUGGUGGCUUAGUGGAGUCAGUCACCAGCCUCUCCGUUGUUUCAGCAGCAGCAUCAAGUGGAGCAAAAACAUUGGACAUAUUCAUCUUGGGCAUAGCCAACCUUAUGGGAGGGCUUCCUCUCAUUUUCCACAAUAUUGCCGAUCUAAGAGACAUUCGAGAUGUGAAUGAGGACAACGAGCGCGUCGGCCACUACUGGUUGCAGCUCGGAAGGCGGACGAAAGCCCGACUCCACAUGAUCCUGGCCCUGCUCUCAUACAUCGUGUUCGGGCUACUUCCACCAAUCCUCUAUGGUCUGUCAUUCCGUGAGAGCAAUGACAGGGAGAACAAGAUGAUGGCCGUCGCUGGUGCUUCACUCGUCUGCAUCGCUCUACUAGCACUUGGAAAGGUGCAUGUCAAGGCAGCACCCAGGACAUACUUCAAGACCCUAAUGUACUACCUGACGGUCGCUGUGAGCUCAUCGGGGCUGUCCUGCGUCGUCGGCGUGCUGAUCACACGGCUCCUGGUGCACUUUGAAAUUAUCGAGCAAGGUGGGUCGGCUGCUCCUCCUUCUCCGGGCCUGUCGUUCCCUCAUUCAAUGUGGAUUACACAUGAGAAUUUGGGACGGAGGCAAACCUUGAAGCUCCCUCCCCGCCCGAUCAGGGCAUGUUGGAUUAAUAGUCUGCCCCUCCCCACACGUUACCGGCGGCUGCAACCAUUUUUUCUCUUGGAGCAAGGAACAUUUGGCACCCCGCUCCAUCCUUGCCAGUCCAAUUCAGAAAGCAUCCGAAGCAAACCCUAG